rnacentral:lncRNA from 1 species
UCCCAAACCCUCGGAUUCUGGCGUCAUCGCUCGUCUUCGAUGGACGACAAGGGCUCUUUCUACAACGGAAUCUGCUGAGACGGCGGCGGCGGCAUCGGUCUUUUCUAGCAAAGACAACCUCAUGAGCCGGGUGAAUAGGCUUCACAAGGAAGGCAAAGAUGAACUCGCCCUACAUGUAAUUUAUUCUUCAUCAUUUAAGUAAGGUUUGUUCUUCCUUCUUUUGGAUUAAUGGGUUAAUUCGUUUUGUAGCUCUUUGACUCUAUGGAUGCGAACAAGGUUGAAUUUACUCCCUCCGAGUUUGCAUUUCAUAUUGAGAUCCUUGCUAAGGUCAAAGGCUUAGCAGCUGCUAAAGCCUACUUCAAAAAAGCAGACCCAGACUUCAACGAUGGAGACAUUCAUGCCAAGAACUGGCCUGCUUACGCCACGCUCCUUCGGCUCACAUCUGAAGAAUUGGACCAACUGGUUAGUGUUCUAGUUUAUUGAAUGUUCUGUCUAAGUUUUGUAGUUUUUAAAUUUGUGUAUUUCAAUCUCUUUUUUAGGCGAACCAUCUCCAUCCACUUAGAAAUUCCUAUUCAAGAAUGGCUGAAUUGGUUUCACCUUCAGUGGUGUCGAUAAUAACGAGAAAUUACUCUGAAGAAAAAGGAGCUCGAAACAUGUUCGGAUCGGGAUUUUUCAUCGACAAUACAACUAUUUUAACAUGUUCACACAUAGUUGUAAACUCUCAACGACUUACCGAUGAAUCUUACUUAAAUUCGAGACAAGAGGUAAAAUUCUGAGUUGUAUUACAUUACUAUGUAAUUAUACAUGCUAAUUGUACCAUUUUUCUUGUCACAGCUAAAAGUAGUUUUGCAUGAUGGAACCGAACUAGAUGGAACACUAGUUCGGUAUGAUUCAGUACAAGAUGUGGCGAUGGUGCGAGUAGAUACUAGCGGGUUGCCGGACGGAUCCUAUUCCCCGGUGAAACUCGGUUUUCCAAACCGAGUUCGCCAAGGGGAUUGGAUUGGCUGUUUUGGAGCACCGCUUCAGCUCCCUAACACCAUCACGUUUGGAGUAGUCUCGUAAGUAUUUUGUUAACUACUGAAUAAUUUACUCUGUAAUUAUCUGGAUUUUGAAUUAUUGUUUGUCAGUGCAAUUCGCACCGCUGAGGAGUUGGAUAUGGGUGACAGGAAAGGACAAUUCUUUCAGAUGGAUUGCACUACUUACGAGGUAUUGUUAUUUAAAUAAUUUUAUUGAUUUGUAUUAUUAUUCGUUAUUGGUUUUGACUAAGUAUCACCUAUAUAUAAUCUCCCACAGGGUUCUUGUGGAGGUCCCAUUGUGAGUUUAGAUGGAUCGGUCAUCGGGAUGACCUGUCUUUCCUUUGGAGAUCCAAAUGGUCCUACUCAGGAUUCCGUUGAACAGGAGCACGGUAUGGCAGUUUCGAUCGACAGUGUUCUCUGUGUACUUGAGCUUGUUUGAUUAUAUUACCUUUUGGUGUGUGUUUUGUCUACUACUCGAACACAGAAUUAUUUGUUACUAGUUUAUCUUCGGAGUGAGAAAUAGUUAUUAGUUUCUGAAACUUCCUAGAUUUAAUCCAACGCGUUAUAUUAUUUCUGAGAUUGACAAUUGGAAACUGACUGUUAACCCCUCUCUCAUCUGCGACUUUAUCUACUAUAUCAACAAUUUUUGUAGACUCUUGAUGUCAUUUCGUUAGCUCUUUCUCCAAUUUGAGGUGUAUUUUGCUUCAGACAAGAACUGAUUCGGUGAAUCUUCAUGUGUUUUGGAUUCUUAGUUCUACUUGCUUCUUUUGAUAUGACGAGAGUGCCAGUUUUUUGGUUUUAUCGAACUUGGGAACUCAAAGAACAAGAGCUGAACAAAGAAGUAUAAAAUGUAAUACUUAUUGUAUAAAAAGGACUAAAAUUUGAUGUUCCUUGUUUUUUUCAUUUUUCAAUAGUAUAAAUGUAUAAUCAAAUAUAAAUUUUCCACAGUUCAGCCCUCGAAAGAACUAAAAUUUGGGAAGAAUAUCAAACAUGUCAGUUUACAAAUAAUACAUAAAAGUUCCAAAGAAGAUACACAAGAAACCUACUUGACUAAUACACGCACUGGAUGAAAGCACUCUCAGACAAGGAGGUAAAACAUUGACAGACGAUGAAACAUGACAGUACAUAAGACAGAGAGUUAUGGCAUAUGUCUUUGAUUAGACAUAUAAUGUUGACUGUAAAUGACGAGAUUCGCAGAGACGAGCAUUCUCAGAAGCAGCAUUCCUCCAACACACAGCAACAGCAGAGAGCAGCAAGACUGCAAUUUGCAACCCGCAAAAGAUUCGGUUAAUCAUAACAUAAUUUAGGCUACUUGAGGCCAAUCAAUCUAAAAUAUAAAAGAGUUUAGUAGAGUGAGCAUAAGAAAAGCUGCAGCACCUGUAUAGACACUAGGAUUUCAAAAUUCUACUUGUAAAAAUACAGCCAUUAGGCAGUUAGUUCUAAAGAGAGCACUAGAUUUAUUGAAGAGUGAAAGAAUCAUGUCCAAGAUACAAUUACUGAGUGUCUCAAGUUAAACACUAAAAGCAUCUUUAUAUGAAUAGCUCAAAACUCAUCAUAGUCAUAGGGAUGUUGCCAUGAGUUUUUUUACCCAGCCCAACCCAUAUUUAAUGGGUACCCGAAUUGUAACUACCCAAUGGGUAUUGAGUUCUAUUGGGUAUACCCAAAAAAUACCCGCUAGAUUUCAGGUAACCCAUGGGUACCCGAGUUCUUUUAAUUAUGUUUUUUUUUUUUUUCAAUUCUUUGGAAAAAUUUUGGAGGGAAAUUUUUUUUGCGGAAAAGUUUUUAACGGAAAAAAGUUUUGGCGGGAAACUUUUUUGCGAAUUACGGGAUCACUUUUCCCACCAAAAGUUUCCCGCCAAAAAUGAAAAUCCGCAAAUUUCCCGCCAAAAAAUGUUAAUCCGCAAAUUUCCCGCCAAAAAUAAAAAUUUGCAAAUUUCCCACCAAAAACAAAAAAAUUCACAAAUUUCCCGCAAAAAAAAACGAAAACCCGCAAAUUUCCCGCCAAAAAAAACGGAAAUCCGUAAAUUUCCCACCAAAAACGCGGAAUUUCCAAAGAUGAGUGAAGUGAAGGAAGGUCCUUUUGAAGGGCAUCAAUGGGCAGAGCCAUCUGUGGAUAAGCUUAGGGUUCUAAUGAGGCAUGUAAUGAGUAAUCCUUAUGAGGCUAAGGUUAAAGGCAACCGUGGAAGAGACGACAUGGUUCAGAAGUUUACACCUGAGGUCGUUACUGAGUUUGUUGCGAAUCAAAUUGAGAUAAUCUUUGAUGAGCAAAGAAGAACAUGACAGGAUCUCACACUUUGCUUAGAUCACGAGAGGGAACAAUAAUUGUAUUUUUUUCAUGAAUUGUUCUAAAAAAGGCAAAUAUGAAACGAACAGCUUAUUCUCGAGUUUCUUAUGGAAAACUUAAACAGUGAGUUUAGUGUUCUAAAUCUUUCUUUUAUUGGAGAUGAGAAGCGAAAGCCGACAUAACUUCCUUGUACACUGGCUUCUUGAAAUCCACUGCCUGUGAAACCGAAAUAGAAGAAGAUGAGUAGAGAAGUAGUAUUAGAAUCAAACUGCAAAUUCGGUAUAGAGAAAGAAGAAAAAAGUACGAACAUGUUCAAUGACUUGAUCAGGAGAAGUCCAGGACCAUUGACCAAACUCAGGUUUCUCAGUUCCAUCACCAAGAAGAUUGAUUUCUUCAUCUUUGCCAGUAAAUUUCAGAAGAAACCUGAGGAAACAAAAGCUCGUAACGAAAAAUACUCAAAAAUCUAUAAAACCCAAGUAUUUUAACCCGAAUCUAGCCCAAAGUAGAUAAAAAACCCAAAAAUAUCUUAACAUCCGAAUAAUUUAGGUACUAUAUAUACUUGUCUAUAAAGUUUAGAAAACAAACACUAGAAAAACAAAUGUUGCACCCAAUAAUUUGACACAUAUACAAAAUCAACAGGAAAAAAAUACCUUUGACACACCACCCUAGUUACUCUAAAAAAAGAAACUGUGUGUUCCCAUUACGGUUUCCGCUGUCCCGAGUCGGCUUAGUAUUCAAAGUGCAUAAGAGGGUAGCCGGGCCGGGCCGGGCCAAAUACGAAGGGCCAUACGAAGGGCCCAAAUUGAGAGUUGCGAGUAUCAAAUAAGAAUAGGGUUUGUGUUGCGACAUUUAGCUAGGGUUAGAAUGAUGAUGAAUUUCCGCCGCAUCGCAGCAGGUUCUCUUCAUCUCUUGCAGAAGUCCGCAACGCGUCCCGCUCUGUUUCCCAAACCCUCGGAUUCUGGCGUCAUCGCUCGUCUUCGAUGGACGACAAGGGCUCUUUCUACAACGGAAUCUGCUGAGACGGCGGCGGCGGCAUCGGUCUUUUCUAGCAAAGACAACCUCAUGAGCCGGGUGAAUAGGCUUCACAAGGAAGGCAAAGAUGAACUCGCCCUACAUGUAAUUUAUUCUUCAUCAUUUAAGUAAGGUUUGUUCUUCCUUCUUUUGGAUUAAUGGGUUAAUUCGUUUUGUAGCU